GGGGAAUAUUGCACAAUGGGGGAAACCCUGAUGCAGCGACGCCGCGUGAGCGAAGAAGUAUUUCGGUAUGUAAAGCUCUAUCAGCAGGGAAGAAAAUGACGGUACCUGACUAAGAAGCACCGGCUAAAUACGUGGCAGCAGCCGCGGUAAUACGUAUGGUGCAAGCGUUAUCCGGAUUUACUGGGUGUAAGGGGAGCGUAGACGGCUGUGUAAGUCUGAAGUGAAAGCCCGGGGCUCAACCCCGGGACUGCUUUGGAAGCUAUGCAGCUAGAGUGUCGGAGAGGUAAGUGGAAUUCCCAGUGUAGCGGUGAAAUGCGUAGAUAUUGGGAGGAACACCAGUGGCGAAGGCGGCUUACUGGACGAUGACUGACGUUGAGGCUCGAAAGCGUGGGGAGCAAAC
rnacentral:rRNA from 1 species